UGUCUUCAAUACAGCCCUUUAAGUUAUCCCACGUGGUCCAACUAAUUUCAAAAGCCCAGGGACUGUCAGUUCCCUGGGACAGAGUCUAGGCCCUGCCACAGAGUGACAAUGGAGGCAUGAAGGGCAAAGCCCCAUAGCACACCCCAGCAUUGUGGUUUCAACUGCAGGCUGGGAGAGUGCUGUCCGGACCACCAGCCCCAGUGCUUCUUCCCUUCUUCCCUGGUCAUGGAGCCCUCACGUUUUUGGCUGGACACAAGGUGAACCUGCUUUAUGAGAUCCUGAUUUGUUAAACUCCAUGCAACAGAAGCUGAGCUGGGUGAGGACAAGGGCUUCAUCUGUGUUGUUUGCUGCUGGGUCUCCAGUGCCCGCCGUGCCUGGCACACAGCACAGGACAGCUCUGGAAGAAUAUGCAAAAACCUGGGGAGAGAGGUUGCUUCCAGUUCCUGGAGAGGAAAGGUUUGUG
rnacentral:lncRNA from 1 species